AUUAAUCCUAAGAAAAAGAAGAAGAUAAGGAUAUACUGUAGAGAGAAAAUGGUUGGUGAAAAUUUUCGUAGAAUACUUAUUGGGACACUUUGGAGGAGUUGGACAAAAACCAACCGUUGGUCGCGUUAAGACUUGAGGUGUAUACUUUACGUAUAAAAUAAGGUGGUACCGCGUUUAAAACGUCCUUAUA
rnacentral:ncRNA from 1 species